rnacentral:rRNA from 1 species
GACGAACGCUGGCGGCGUGCCUAAUACAUGCAAAUCAAGCGGAACUGGGGGAGCUUGCUCCUUCCAGUUUAGCGGCGGACGGGUGAGUAACACGUGGGCAACCUGCCCUGCAGAUCGGGAUAACUCCGGGAAACCGGUGCUAAUACCGAAUAGUUUGGCGCCUCUCCUGAGGCGCUACGGAAAGACGGUUUCGGCUGUCACUGCAGGAUGGGCCCGCGGCGCAUUAGCUAGUUGGUGGGGUAACGGCCCACCAAGGCGACGAUGCGUAGCCGACCUGAGAGGGUGACCGGCCACACUGGGACUGAGACACGGCCCAGACUCCUACGGGAGGCAGCAGUAGGGAAUCUUCCGCAAUGGACGCAAGUCUGACGGAGCAACGCCGCGUGAGUGACGAAGGUUUUCGGAUCGUAAAACUCUGUUGUGAGGGAAGAACACGUACCAACUAACUAUUGGUACCUUGACGGUACCUCACCAGAAAGCCACGGCUAACUACGUGCCAGCCGCCGCCGUAA